rnacentral:rRNA from 1 species
UACGGAGGGGGCUAGCGUUGUUCGGAAUUACUGGGCGUAAAGCGCACGUAGGCGGCUUUGUAAGUUAGAGGUGAAAGCCCGGAGCUCAACUUCGGAAUUGCCUUUAAGACUGCAUCGCUUGAAUCAUGGAGAGGUCAGUGGAAUUCCGAGUGUAGAGGUGAAAUUCGUAGAUAUUCGGAAGAACACCAGUGGCGAAGGCGACUGACUGGACAUGUAUUGACGCUGAGGUGCGAAAGCGUGUGAAGCAAACAGG